CUCUUGAACAUCAGUGUCAGCAUAAUGGAGGGAGAUGGCUCUGUAGCAGCUCUUUCUGCCAGGUGACUUAAAAAGGAAUAUCCACUCAGCUGUGGUGUGGGAGCCUGAAAACAGGAACUCAGAUAUAGUGGAGUUAUUCUUGGCCUUUUGGAUCUUAAACAUCUUAGAGAAGCAACCUGGACUACUGGAUAAAGUAUGGACCGAGGAUUCAGAAGGACCUGAGUUCUAAUCCCAGCU